CGAGGUCAGGGUGAAAGGGUGAGUUUGUUUAUCCCGAGCUCAGCCCUGCUGAGGACCUGGCUGGCUCUGUGUGCUGAGUCACGGCCCGCUGGCCGCCGGCGCUGUCCAAAGCCGGGAACGUUCCUGUCCCAGUUCCCAUCCUCGCAGUCCCGCUGGCCUUGGCGAGUGCUGAGGGCGCACCGUGCUCUGAUUACCGUGAAAACCAACACUUCAGUUACUUCAGUGCGAGAGAACCAAGUUGAAAUACGUGUCUGGGCGGUGGGAAGGAGCCAGCUGAGCUCUAAUCCCGCCCUGAGCCGCAGGGCCGGUUUGCGUGAGCGCUGCUGGGGUCUGUCCUGCCGUGACACCGCAGCGCGGCCGCGGAGCGCUUGUGUAACCGCCCGCUCCCGGCUCCCGGCGCUUACGAAACCCGGCUGCUGUCCUGGGCCAGGGCCACGGCCGGAGCCUCGCUGGGAACCCUGCUGGGAACCUCGCUGGGAACCCUGCUGGGAGCCUCGCUGGGAACCCUGCUGGGGAGCCUCACUGGGAACAUCACUGGGAACCCUGCUAGGAGCCUUGCUGGGAACCCUGCUGGGAACCCUGCUGGGAACCUCAUUGGGAACCCUGCUGGGAACCCUGCUAGGAGCCUCGCUGGGAACCCUGCUGGGAACCUCAUUGGGAACCCUGCUGGGAACCCUGCUAGGAGCCUCGCUGGGAACCCUGCUGGGAACCUCAUUGGGAACCCUGCUGGGAACCCUGCUAGGAGCCUCGCUGGGAACCCUGCUGGGAACCUCAUUGGGAACCCUGCUGGGAACCCUGCUAGGAGCCUCGCUGGGAACCCUGCUGGGAACCUCAUUGGGAACCCUGCUGGGAACCCUGCUAGGAGCCUCGCUGGGAACCCUGCUGGGAACCUCAUUGGGAACCCUGCUGGGAACCCUGCUAGGAGCCUCGCUGGGAACCCUGCUGGGAACCUCAUUGGGAACCCUGCUGGGAACCCUGCUAGGACCUCACUGGGAACCCUGCUGGGAACCCUGCUGGGAGCCUCGCUGGGAACCCUGCUGGGAACCUCACUGGGAACCCUGCUGGGAACCCUGCUGGGGAGCCUCACUGGGAACCCUGCUGGGGAACCUCACUGGGAACCUCACUGGGAGCCCUGCUGGGAACCUCACUGGGAACCUCACCUCACUGGGAGCCCUGCUCUGGGGCUGGGGCUGCCCCUGCCCGGGGCUCCUCCCAGAGCAAGGGUCGCACCGCGGGCUCUCAGCACCUGCAGUUGCUCUGGAAAGAUCAAUCCCGACUUGGCACUUUCAAAGUCACAUUUUGGAAGCAAUUAGCCUGUUUCCUUUAUUUAGGUGA
rnacentral:lncRNA from 1 species